AUGGAAAGACCUCCAAGCCGCCGCCGAUUCGUGUACUUCGAGGGCUGCCACCCACAACGAGGAACACGAGCGUGGUGCGUCGACGUGGCAAACCCGUUCUCCUUCCUCACUACCAUGUGCAGUUCGCCGAUGCCCGUCGCCAACCCAGUCCUUACGCGAACGACACAAUCUGGACCCUGUUGUGUUUUCAUCGGAAAAACAAGGAUGUGGGUCAGACUCCAGUUCAUCGCGACUCCAUUAACGGAGUUUGACCACUCUGAAAAAGGUGAUGCUCUGUAUGCAAUGGAGUUUGGCUCUUGCUCUCGAAAAGAUGGUGAACAAGAAGCUGCCCAACCUGCACACUGCAUGAACGAUGGUCAGAUAGUUCAUCUAGAAUGA
rnacentral:rRNA from 1 species